GUUAUAUGGUCAAGUGACUAAGCGCAUACGGUGGAUGCCUUGGCAGUUAGAGGCGAUGAAGGACGUAGUAGCCUGCGAUAAGCUUCGGGGAGGUGGCAAACAACCUUUGAUCCGGAGAUCUCCGAAUGGGGCAACCCAUCCAGCUUGCUGGAUAUCGUGCACUGAAUACAUAGGUGUACGAGGCGAACGAGGGGAACUGAAACAUCUAAGUACCCUUAGGAACAGAAAUCAAUUGAGAUUCCGUCAGUAGCGGCGAGCGAAAGCGGAUUAGCCCUUAAGUCUUUAUCGUGUUAGUGGAACACUCUGGAAAGUGUGGCCAUAGUGGGUGAUAGCCCCGUACACGAAAGCGCGAUAGAGAUGAAAACGAGUAGGUCGGGACACGUGUUAUCCUGAUUGAAGAUGGGGGGACCAUCCUCCAAGGCUAAAUACUCCUAACUGACCGAUAGUGAACCAGUACCGUGAGGGAAAGGCGAAAAGAACCCCGGAGAGGGGAGUGAAAUAGAUCCUGAAACCGUAUGCGUACAAGCAGUGGGAGCCCUUAGGGGUGACUGCGUACCUUUUGUAUAAUGGGUCAGCGACUUACAUUCAGGAGCAAGGUUAACCGUUUAGGGGAGCCGUAGGGAAACCGAGUCUUAAUAGGGCGUUCAGUUGCUGGGUGUAGACCCGAAACCCGGCGAGCUACCCAUGGGCAGGUUGAAGGUGCCGUAACAGGCACUGGAGGACCGAACCGUAAUCUGUUGAAAAAGAUUCGGA
rnacentral:rRNA from 1 species